rnacentral:rRNA from 1 species
AGUGAACGCUGGCGGUAGGCCUAACACAUGCAAGUCGAACGGCAGCACAGUAAGAGCUUGCUCUUACGGGUGGCGCGUGGCGGACGGGUGAGGAAUGCAUCGGAAUCUACUUUUUCGUGGGGGAUAACGUAGGGAAACUUACGCUAAUACCGCAUACGACCUACGGGUGAAAGCAGGGGAUCUUCGGACCUUGCGCGAUUGAAUGGGCCGAUGUCGGAUUAGCUAGUUGGCGGGGUAAAGGCCCACCAAGGCGACGAUCCGUAGCUGGUCUGAGAGGAUGAUCAGCCACACUGGAACUGAGACACGGUCCAGACUCCUACGGGAGGCAGCAGUGGGGAAUAUUGGACAAAGGGCGCAAGCCUGAUCCAGCCAUACCGCGUGGGUGAAGAAGGCCUUCGGGUUGUAAAGCCCUUCUGUUGGGAAAGAAAAGCAGCAGGUUAAUACCCCGCUGUUCUGACGGUACCCAAAGAAUAAGCACCGGCUAACUUCGUG